rnacentral:rRNA from 1 species
ACAGAGAGUGCAAACGUUGUUCGGAAUUACUGGGCGUAAAGGGCUCGUAGGCGGCCAACUCAGUCGGACGUGAAAUCCCUCGGCUUAACCGGGGAACUGCGUCCGAUACUGGAUGGCUCGAGUGUGGGAGAGGGAUGCGGAAUUCCAGGUGUAGCGGUGAAAUGCGUAGAUAUCUGGAGGAACACCGGUGGCGAAGGCGGCAUCCUGGACUACUACUGACGCUGAGGAGCGAAAGCCAGGGGAGCAAACGGGA